UAUGUGUAUUUGUAUUGAAAUUUUGACACAUGUAUCAUCACACUCUUAGGCAAGGUUGUUUACUCAACUCUUUUCAAAUCUUUAAACACAUACACAGUGUCUGCCUGUGUAUGUGUCUUCACAUAUAUGUACUGUUAUGUGUGUUUUCUACUAUCUGUGUUGUUGUUGUUGUUGUUGUUCCCUGUGUCAGCUUCAAACCCAGCCUAUGGCAUGUUUCAUGAGACUAGGUGUCAUCAACUGCACCAGUGCUCCAUCUACUGGACAACUACACAACUCACUCUCAGAUAAUCAUCAUCAUUGUCAUCAACAUGAGCAACAGCAGCAUUUUACACCCACUUUUCCAAGCUGGCAUGGGUUGGACAGGUUUUACUUAAAGUAGUGUUUUACAGUUGGACACUCUUCCUGACGCUCACCCUUGUAGCUGUUUCUCACGACUUACAGGGAUGUUGUGUACCAAUUCUAAAAAGCAAGAUGUAUACAGUAAAGCAGCUCACUGUCACCACCCAGGUUGACUGUAGAGGGCACAGUAUGUCAGUCCAGGCUUGUUGCUUUGUUUCUCGUUGUUCCAGCUGUUUCUGUCUGUUGUUACUCAUCAUUUAUCAUUAUUAUGGCGGUGAUGAUGAUGAUGAUGAUGAUGGUCAUGAUGGUAACAUUGGUGAUGAUGAUGUUGAUGUUUUUGUUGUAUAACUUCAGGUCAGCUCUAAUUGAGCAGGUCUUAUGAUCAAAGACAUAUCAUCCAUGACCAUCCAGCUGAUAUAUAUAUAUAUAUACAUAUAUUUAUAUAUAAUCAUCAUCAUCAUCUCACUUCCAUGGCUCGGACAGAAUUUGUUGAAGAAAAUUUCCUACGGCCGGGCACUCUUCCUGUUACUAACCCUCACUUGUUUCCAAGCAAAUUAUCAUCAUCAUCAUCAUCAUCAUUAUUGUCAGCUUCAUUUAACGUUUUUGUUCCAUGCUUCCAAGCUGGCACAGGUUGAACAGUUCAACAAGGCAAGAGGACUGCAAUGAUCUCCAGUGUCUGCUUCAGCACAGUUUCUAUGGCCGGAUGCCCUUCCUAAUGCCAACUACUUUACAGCAUGGACUGAAUUGGGUUUUGUGUGUGUAUGUGUGUGUGUAUGUGUGUGUGUGUGUGUGUGUGUGU